rnacentral:lncRNA from 1 species
CUUGACCUCGUGAUCCACCCGCCUCGGCCUCCCAAAGUGCUGGGAUUACAGGCUUGAGCCACCGCGCCCGGCCCCGACUUUUUCUUAUUGAUUUGUAGAAGCGCUUCACUAAAGACAUUGAUCAGCUCUGAACUACGACAUCCUCCGCCAACGUCAAGCAGGACUUCAGCGGGACUGGAUGUGGCUCAUGACAGCCACUUCCACAUUGUUCCCAGAAGGGGGAGCCAAAGGGCAGGAGGUCGCAGAGGCAGGAGCCUUCCAUCUCUUGUGCGAGUGAGACGAGCCGCUGGUCUUCUCUUCCGCAAGUCACCAGUCGGGAGUCAAAGUCCACCCACAGAUGCUGCAGAAAGCGACAGAGCUUGCUUCGAAAGCCUGAACAUCACUGCGGUCUGGGGUUGUAAGCGGGCACGAGGGGCUCAUGGGAGGGUGGCGUAAGUGCCUUCCUGCCCAUCCUCAAGCCGGGUCCUGGAGCCAGCUACCUACCUCAGCAAUUUCCCCGUUGUCAGUUCCAGGCCAGGGAAGACUUGUAAGAUCACUCGCAAGUAGAAUGUGCGGUCAGAGUUGAGGGGAG